rnacentral:rRNA from 1 species
AGCUCCAAUAGCGUAUAUUAAAGUUGUUGCAGUUAAAAAGCUCGUAGUUGGAUUUCUGGUAGGAGCGACCGUUCCGAACUUGAUUGUUCGUGUAUUGAGUUGUCUCCAGCCAUCCUUGUGGAGAACUUUUCUUGCAUUAAUUUGUAGGGAUUGGGACCCGCAUCGUUUACUGUGAAGAAAUUAGAGUGUUUAAAGCAGGCAAUCGCUUGAAUACAUUAGCAUGGAAUAAUAAGAUAGGACUUUGGUACUAUUUUGUUGGUUUGCAUACCAAAUUAAUGAUCAACAGGAACAGUUUGAGGAUAUUCGUAUGAACAUGUCAGAGGUGAAAUUCUUGGAUUUUGAUCAGACGAACUACUGCGAAAGCAUUUAUCAAGGAUGUUUUCAUUA